GAGCGCCGUAGCAAUACGGAGCGGCAGACGGGAGAGUAACACGUGGGAACGUGCCCUUCAGUUCGGAACAACUCAGGGAAACUUGGGCUAAUACCGAAUACGUCCGUAAGGAGAAAGAUUUAUCGCUGAAGGAUCGGCCCGCGUCUGAUUAGCUAGUUGGUGGGGUAAUGGCCCACCAAGGCGACGAUCAGUAGCUGGUCUGAGAGGAUGAUCAGCCUCACUGGGACUGAGACACGGCCCAGACUCCUACGGGAGGCAGCAGUGGGGAAUAUUGGACAAUGGGCGCAAGCUUGAUCCAGCCAUGCCGCGUGGGUGAUGAAGGCCCUAGGGUUGUAAAGCCCUUUCGGCGGGGAAGAUAAUGACGGUACCCGCAGAAGAAGCCCCGGCUAACUUCGUG
rnacentral:rRNA from 1 species